rnacentral:lncRNA from 10 species
UAGAGAUCCAUCAUGUGAAAUCUGCCAACUCUGGAAUCUGAAUUGCUCAUGGUGGGCAAGGAAGAGGCAGGAAUAUAAGUGUGAUGGGAAGAGACAUAAUAGCACCUCACAGCACAUAGAAAUGUUUCUUCAACUGUUUCAAAUGCUGGAGCAUAGCACACAUGAAGCAAUCCACCGAGGAAGCUCUGCUCAUCCAUUUUUCUCUUGGCUGUCCUUGCACUUUGGUCUCACUCUAUCAGCAAGACUGGAGUGCAGUGGCACGAUUUCAACUCACUGCAACCUCUGCCUCCUGGGUUCAAGUGAUUCUUGUGCCUCAGCCUCCCAAGAUUUAACAUUUCUUUGGAUAUUUUGUGUGUGAAACAGUGUAAAUAUUAUUUAAAUGUAGACUAUGAUUAAUUAAAUAUGUAUAUUGUAAGCCUUAAGUCAACCACGAAAUUUUCUUAAAAAUAAUGAAGUCAAUAUAGGUAAUAAAAGGGUCUCAUAAGUAUUGCCCAAUUAAUCUAAAAGAGAAACAGAAAAAAGAGAAGAGAACAAUAUUUUUAAAAGAACACAUGGAAGAAAUAGAAAACAACUGUCACAAUGGUAAAUUUUGACCAACCACCAGUAAUAUUAAAUGUGAAUGGCCUAAGUUCACCAAUUAAAAGAUGGAGAUUGUUAGAUUGAAUUAAAAUUAAAACAAAUUAAACUAUGUGCUAUCUACAAGAAACCUUUUUCAAAUAUGAAGUUAAGGAAAGGAUGCAAGCGAAAAGGAAGGCAAAAGAUAUUGUAUGUGUUAUACCUGAAUUGUGUCUCUCAAAAUUAUGUAUGUUGAGACCCUAAUUCCCAAUAUGACUGUAUUUGGAGAUAGGGCUAUUAAGAGGUAAAUAAGAUCAAGUGAGGCCAUAAGGAUAGGGUCCUAAUCCUGUGGGAUUGGUGGACUUACAGGAAGAGAGAUCUCUUUCUCCUUUUCCAUGCACAUGCGCACGGAAAGGCCAUGCGAGCACACGGCUUGAAAAUGGUCAUCUGUAAGCCAGGAAGAGGGCUCUCAUCAGAACUCAAACUUGCCAACAUAUCAGAUUUCUAGCCUCCAGAACUAUGAGAAAAUAAAUUUCUGUGCUUUAGACAUCCAGUCUAUGAUAUUUUGUUGUGGCAGUCUGGGCAGACUAAGUCACUAUACAAACCUUAACUAAAAGAAAACUUAAGUAGCUAUAUUAAUAUCAGAUAAACUUAAGAACAAAGAAUAUUAUCAGAGAUAGAUAGGGUAAUUAUGUAAUGAAAAAGCAGUCAAUUUUCCAAGAUGUGACAAUUUUAAGCAUUUUGCACCAAAAAACAGAGUUUCAAAAUACAUUUAUAAAAAAGAACUGAAAUCCCAGCACUAUGGGAGGCCAAGGCGGGUGGAUCACCUGAGGUCAGGGUUUGAGACCAGCCAGGCCAACAUGGUGAAACCUCGUCUCUACUAAAAAUACAAAAAUUAGCUGGGUGUGGUGGUGCACACCUGUAGUUCCAGUUAUUCUGGAGGCCGAGGCAGGACAAUUGUUUGAACCCGGGAGGCGGAGAUUGCAGUGAGCCAAGAUUGCACCAUUGCACUCCAGCCUGGGCGACAGAGCGAGGCUCCAUCUCAAAAAAAAAAAAAAAAAAAAAGAACUGAAAAAAACGGAAAAAUGCACAAUUCUAGUUGAAGACUUUGAUACUUUAAUCUCAGUAUUGAUGGAUAGAACAAAGUGUACAGAAAAUUGCUAAGCAUGUAGAAGACUUAAUACUAUCAACGAACUGAACUAAUAACAUUUAUAGAUCACUAUACCCAACAAAAAAUAUAUAUAUAAUAUUCUUUAACACAGAGAACUUUUGCCAAGAUACAUCAUAUUCUGAAUCAUAAAAAACCCUAAAAUUUAAAGGAAUGAAAAGUAUACAAAGUAUGUUCACAGCUAAUAACCAAAUUAAAUUAGAAAUGAUGAACGGAAAUACCUAAACAAUCACCAAUAUUUGGAGUUUAAGUAACGUACUUCUAACUAACACAUGGGUCAAGAGGAAGCCUCGAGGGAAAAAAAUAUAUAUAAUAUAUAUAUAUUUAAUAUAUAUAAAAAUAUAUAUUAAACAUAUAUAUAUAGAGAGAGAGAGAGAACUAAAUAAAACGAAAAUGCAAUAUAUCAAAAUUUUGGGGAUGCAGUUAAAAGUAGAUGAAGAGUUGAGAUCAGUAUGCUUCUGCCUUAAAAACUGCCUUGCUUAGUUUCCAAAUGUCUGGGGAUUUUUUGAUUACCUUUUUUGUUGUUGUUGUUUCCUAGUAGAAUUCCUUUGGGGUUAGAAAACAUUUUCUGUGUAACUUCAAUAUAAUAUUUUUUGAGAUCUGCAUUAUGACUCAGCAUGUAUUCAAUCAUUUUGUACAUCCUGUAUGCAUUUGAAAGGAACACAUACUUUUCAGUAUUGCAUUGUCUGUCAACUAGGUCAGAUAUGUGAAUUACGUUAUUUAAGUAUUCUAUAUACCUAAUGAUUUGAUGCCUGCUUGUGCUACCAUUUAAUGUGUUUUAUUAAAUGUUUAUGAUUGUAUAUUUCUUUAUGAUUAUAUAUUGCUUUAUUUCUCCUUUGGCACUUCAUUUUUGGGCAAUCUACUUAAUGUAUGCAUUUAGCUCUCAUAAGCUCAAAAUUAGACUUUUAUUUUCAAGUAGUCAUUCACAGUUUUUCCUAUUAGUCCCUAAAGUCUAG